rnacentral:rRNA from 1 species
UACGUAGGGGGCGAGCGUUGUCCGGAAUUAUUGGGCGUAAAGGGCGCGUAGGCGGGUAUUUAAGUCUGGUGUGAAAGAUCAGGGCUCAACCCUGAGAGUGCAUCGGAAACUGGGUAUCUUGAGGACAGGAGAGGAAAGUGGAAUUCCACGUGUAGCGGUGAAAUGCGUAGAUAUGUGGAGGAACACCAGUGGCGAAGGCGACUUUCUGGACUGUAACUGACGCUGAGGCGCGAAAGCGUGGGGAGCAAACAGG